rnacentral:rRNA from 1 species
GAUGAACGCGGCGGCGUGCUUAACACAUGCAAGUCGAACGAUGAAGCCCAGCUUGCUGGGUGGAUUAGUGGCGAACGGGUGAGUAACACGUGAGUAACCUGCCCUUAACUCUGGGAUAAGCCUGGGAAACUGGGUCUAAUACCGGAUAGGAGCGUCCACCGCAUGGUGGGUGUUGGAAAGAUUUAUCGGUUUUGGAUGGACUCGCGGCCUAUCAGCUUGUUGGUGAGGUAAUGGCUCACCAAGGCGACGACGGGUAGCCGGCCUGAGAGGGUGACCGGCCACACUGGGACUGAGACACGGCCCAGACUCCUACGGGAGGCAGCAGUGGGGAAUAUUGCACAAUGGGCGCAAGCCUGAUGCAGCGACGCCGCGUGAGGGAUGACGGCCUUCGGGUU